rnacentral:rRNA from 2 species
CAGUCGAACGACUCUGGUAUUGAUUGGUGCUUGCAUCAUGAUUUACAUUUGAGUGAGUGGCGAACUGGUGAGUAACACGUGGGAAACCUGCCCAGAAGCGGGGGAUAACACCUGGAAACAGAUGCUAAUACCGCAUAACAACUUGGACCGCAUGGUCCGAGCUUGAAAGAUGGCUUCGGCUAUCACUUUUGGAUGGUCCCGCGGCGUAUUAGCUAGAUGGUGGGGUAACGGCUCACCAUGGCAAUGAUACGUAGCCGACCUGAGAGGGUAAUCGGCCACAUUGGGACUGAGACACGGCCCAAACUCCUACGGGAGGCAGCAGUAGGGAAUCUUCCACAAUGGACGAAAGUCUGAUGGAGCAACGCCGCGUGAGUGAAGAAGGGUUUCGGCUCGUAAAACUCUGUUGUUAAAGAAGAACAUAUCUGAGAGUAACUGUUCAGGUAUUGACGGUAUUUAACCAGAAAGCCACGGCUAACUACGUGCCAGCAGCCGCGGUAAUACGUAGGUGGCAAGCGUUGUCCGGAUUUAUUGGGCGUAAAGCGAGCGCAGGCGGUUUUUUAAGUCUGAUGUGAAAGCCUUCGGCUCAACCGAAGAAGUGCAUCGGAAACUGGGAAACUUGAGUGCAGAAGAGGACAGUGGAACUCCAUGUGUAGCGGUGAAAUGCGUAGAUAUAUGGAAGAACACCAGUGGCGAAGGCGGCUGUCUGGUCUGUAACUGACGCUGAGGCUCGAAAGUAUGGGUAGCAAACAGGAUUAGAUACCCUGGUAGUCCAUACCGUAAACGAUGAAUGCUAAGUGUUGGAGGGUUUCCGCCCUUCAGUGCUGCAGCUAACGCAUUAAGCAUUCCGCCUGGGGAGUACGGCCGCAAGGCUGAAACUCAAAGGAAUUGACGGGGGCCCGCACAAGCGGUGGAGCAUGUGGUUUAAUUCGAAGCUACGCGAAGAACCUUACCAGGUCUUGACAUACUAUGCAAAUCUAAGAGAUUAGACGUUCCCUUCGGGGACAUGGAUACAGGUGGUGCAUGGUUGUCGUCAGCUCGUGUCGUGAGAUGUUGGGUUAAGUCCCGCAACGAGCGCAACCCUUAUUAUCAGUUGCCAGCAUUAAGUUGGGCACUCUGGUGAGACUGCCGGUGACAAACCGGAGGAAGGUGGGGAUGACGUCAAAUCAUCAUGCCCCUUAUGACCUGGGCUACACACGUGCUACAAUGGAUGGUACAACGAGUUGCGAACUCGCGAGAGUAAGCUAAUCUCUUAAAGCCAUUCUCAGUUCGGAUUGUAGGCUGCAACUCGCCUACAUGAAGUCGGAAUCGCUAGUAAUCGCGGAUCAGCAUGCCGCGGUGAAUACGUUCCCGGGCCUUGUACACACCGCCCGUCACACCAUGAGAGUUUGUAACACCCAAAGUCGGUGGGGU